rnacentral:rRNA from 1 species
ACUCAAAUGAAUAGACGGGGACUCGCACAAGCGGUGGAUCAUGUGGCUUAAUUCGUAGCUAAGCGAAGAACCUUACCCGGGUUAGAAAUCCAGCUGCACGCCUUCCGAAAGGAAGGAAGCUUUCGAAGGUGCUGGACAGGUGAUGCAUGGUUGUCGUCAGUUCGUGGCUUGAGCUGUUCCCUUCAGUGGGGUAACGAACGCAACCCUCGUUGUCUGUUAUUUUUCAGGCGAGACUGCCCCCUCACGGGGGAGGAAGGUGAGGAUGACGCCAAAUCAGCAUGUCCCUCUGAUACCCGGGGCUGCACACGUGAUACAAUGGUCGGUACAGAAGGACGCAAUACCGCAAGGUGGAGCAAAUCCCAAAAACCGACCCCAGUACGGAUCGAGGUCUGCAACCGACCUCGUGAAGCCGGAAUCGCUAGUAAUCGUGGGUCAGCCAUACCACGGUGAAUACGUUCUCGAGUCUUGUACACACCGCCCGU